GACGAACGCUGGCGGCGUGCUUAACACAUGCAAGUCGAACGGACUGUUAGUGAAAGCUUGCUGGAUCUAACAGUUAGUGGCGGACGGGUGAGUAACACGUGAGAACCUAUCCCGACCCGGGGGACAACAGGUGGAAACGCCUGCUAAUACCCCAUAGGCGCAGAGAUGCGUGAAAGGAGCAAUCCGGGGAGGGAGGGGCUCGCGGCCUAUCAGCUAGUAGGUGGGGUAACGGCCCACCUAGGCGAUGACGGGUAGCCGGCCUGAGAGGGCGCACGGCCACACUGGAACUGAGACACGGUCCAGACUCCUACGGGAGGCAGCAGUGGGGAAUCUUGGGCAAUGGGGGCAACCCUGACCCAGCGACGCCGCGUGAGGGACGAAAUCCCUUGGGAUGUAAACCUCUGUUGUGCGGGACGAAGGACGUGACGGUACCGCACGAGGAAGCCCCGGCAAACUACGUGCCAGCAGCCGCAGUAA
rnacentral:rRNA from 1 species